GGGUAUGUGGCUCAGUGGUAGAGUGUGUGCUUAGCACGUGCAACGUCCUGGGUUCAAUCCCCAUUACUUCCA
rnacentral:tRNA from 1 species